GACAUUAUUAAACAUUCUCAUUCAUUCUUGGCGGAACAGUGUGCGAAAGCGGCCCGGAAAGAAAGAUUCUCAUGUCCACGUGAUGCAGGCUGGGUAGGCGAUCAGUUUUACAGAUUAACCUUUCUGCUGUCAAUCAUGAACUGCAAUUCACCCCCUGAGUUACUCAGCAACGCAGUGUCAUCAGCGAAGUGCAGGUUACAAAGUGGCACAGGCAGCGGCUGGAGAUAGAAAAGCUUUGAACGAAGGCAAAAAAAAGAGUGGACACGCGGGCCACAAAGGGUCUCAAGAUUCAGUGAGUGAAU